GGGGGUGGGGGGGAAUCAUAGUAUAUAAGGAGCGAACAAUUCAAACAUGAAAGAAGAAAAAUCUAGCUUUUGGAAAAAGGUCAGAACCAUAUAAAAACAGAGAUGACUUUCAGAAAUUGAAAUCAAACUAGUUCAGAGGUGAGAACAUGCAAUUCACAUAGCCACAGUCUGAAAACCCCUAAAUUCUAGGGUUUUCGUCAUUAGUCUAGUGUAGGAACGAAGACGAACAAAUCAGACAAGAGCAUACUUAGAGAAAUACAAAGGAACUUAAUUGUUCCGUGAAAACAUGCUGAGGGAACACAGUAAAAGAAAAUAGAAGGAAACAUUAGGGGGAACAUAAUAGAAGAAAGCACAUAGAAGUCAAAGUAGAAACAAACAGGAGUCACAGUAGGCCAAAUACAGUAAGAAACACCUCAUAAAAUCACAGUAGAACAACUAAAAUCAAAGAAACCCUAAAUCCAUUAUGGGAACAUAAUAGAAGAAAGCACAUAUGAGUCAAAAUAGAAACAAACAUGAGUCACAGUAGGACAAAUACAGUAAGAAACACCUCAUAAAAUCACAGUAGAACAAGUAAAAUCAAAGAAACCCUAAAUAGGAGAAGACGAAUAGUUCUGAAAGAAAGAUUUUGAAAGAAAUUUAAGAAAAUAGUUCUGAAAACCUUAAAACAAGCAUAGAUCUAGAGCGGAUCUAGAGAAAUAUAGGAAAACCUCAAAGGGCUAGGGUUUCAGAAGACCCUAGAAGUGAGAAAGGCCUGGAAAAAAGAGUCUGCUUUGAGCUAGGUGAGCCAGAGAUAAGCUCAUAGGACCAGGACAUGCCGUAGAUGGCCGUGAAACUUGAAUUAGCGAUGAUCUGAGUGAAAACCUUCAAGGUCAGACCUUGAAUCCUCCAGUAGCAGGCGUACAAGAGCACGUGGAGGUGAGUACAAGCCACCCAGGGCUUGAGGAUGCCAUGGAUUCUGGUGAAGCAUGGUGGAAGAUGGUGGGAGAGGGCUAGCGUUCUGGAGGGACUAGAGAGAUUUUGAAGCGAAGAGGGUUUGAGGGCAGCUGUUUGUAA
rnacentral:lncRNA from 1 species